UACGGAGGAUCCAAGCGUUAUCCGGAUUCAUUGGGUUUAAAGGGUGCGUAGGCGGACUUAUAAGUCAGUGGUGAAAUCCUGCAGCUUAACUGCAGAACUGCCAUUGAUACUGUAAGUCUUGAGUGUGUUUGAAGUGGGCGGAAUGUGUCAUGUAGCGGUGAAAUGCUUAGAUAUGACACAGAACACCGAUUGCGUAGGCAGCUCACUAAGCCACAACUGACGCUGAGGCACGACAGCGUGGGGAUCAAACAGG
rnacentral:rRNA from 1 species